GUUUAUUCACAGAAAGGGACAAAUACUGCUGAGAUGCUGCCACCAACAUUAAUAACAUAGAAUUACUUAGAUCACAUACCUAACCUGCUAAACACAUUAUUUGUUGUGUGGCUAUUUGUGUUAGGGAGCAAGUGUCCACUGAGUAUAUUUUAAUCAGUAAAUGUAUACUUGCUUGUCAGAUUAAUGACUCAGUCUGUCUUUUGCUAUCAUAGUUUAAAAAAUGCUGUACCAGCUCUUCCCCUCUUGAUACUAUUGUGACAUGUUAACGACGACUAAUUUGUCAUAUGAG